CAGUCUCCUCCAAGGGUCGCUAUAGCUCUGAGGUCGCCUUGGCAUACCCUGGGAGUUUCAUAUACACUCGAGAGCGGUGGUCGUCUGACUGUGAUUCCGACAGGUGGUGGAAGACACUGGUUUGGGGAUUACUGUGUGUUGGGAGGAAGUUAUCGGGGUUUACAUUGACUGUAAGGCGCAGUGGACUCGCUUCUCGUGUUGCCUUUUUAUUUUGCCGACCCAGCGACGCAUCCACCACCACCACCACCACCGCCGUCACCGAUCCUUCGACUCAGCCCAUCGCUGCGUCAAAGGCUGUGUAAGGAGGACGUCAGCAAAUCAGAGGACUGAAGAUUGUGGAGACACGGCAGACCGUUCAGGAGCUGUCAGGUGUAUGUUGGGUGGACUUCUGCAGCAUUCCCUAUUUCCCUGGAUAAGUAUGACAAGUUAAUUGGCUUUACCUGAUUUUCACCGCUCUCAUUUCCCCGCUAUGCAUUUCAACCAUUCACCAACACCUCUAUCUACACGCCACUCACACUUUCCAAUCAUGCUGACCUACAUUCCACUCGUUGCUAUGUCAUUAUGCCUUCAACAGACCAUGUGUUGCCUCCAUGAAGAAGUCCGCGUGUUUGCGUCGCGUUAAGCAUUCAAGGCUUGGUCAGACUGAAUCAGUAGCAUGAGAGACACUGACACUGACUCCACCUGACAGCAUCUCUCCUCUUCUUGCUUGAAUUGAUAUCCCGUUCUUGUUCUUGGUGGUUGAUUAUUCAUUUGUUUAUAUAUAUCUUUAUUUACUCAUUUAUUUACCUUUUUAAAUAUUUAUCUGUUUAUUUAUUUGCAUACUUAUUUCUAAGGUUAUUACAUCUCUCAUUAGUAGUCAUUGCGUCUCACCUGAUGUCAUCACUACCGCUACACGUGACGCUGGCCAGGGAGUGACGCGUGCAAAUACUCGUCUCGCCUUUCCUCCAGGUCCUAUUUAAAGCUUGGUCCUCACCCCAGAAUACGCAACCAGUCACCUGAGAUGAAGAAAAAAGCAAGGUACGUUACAGUACUGUGAAAGAGAACGGCUUUAUUUAACUCCACUGUACUCCGCACAUUAUUCUAUAAAAUGUUUGUGUGGACUCGCUUCACGCCACAAAAACUGCGGUAAAAGCUUGGUGUUAUUCCCUUGCGAAAUGUGAGGAAUAACAAAAGUGUCAGGGAAAAAAAAAAUACGACUAACCUUUUUUUUUUGUUUUACUCGUUUGUGUUAUUUUGUCUCUGAUUGGCAGUGUUCAUAAAAAUGCCGCGGUGCUGUGAGGAGGACGUGCCUCUGUGAUGUGAGAGAAACCGAUGUACAUACUCUGGAAGAUUGCCCCGUAAUGAGUAGUGAUGAUGAUGAUAGUAAUAAUAAUAGUAAUAAUAGUAACAAUAUUGCGUUAACAUAAGAGCUUAAACAAUUUGUAGGAAUAAACAGUGGUAGAAGUAGUAGUAGUAGUAGUAGUAGUAGUAGU